UACAGAGGGUGCGAGCGUUAAUCGGAAUUACUGGGCGUAAAGCGUGCGUAGACGGUAGCGUAAGUCAGAUGUGAAAGCCCCGGGCUCAACCUGGGAAUUGCAUUUGAGACUGCUCUGCUCGGGUGCGGAAGAGGGAAGCGGAAUUUCCGGUGUAGCGGUGAAAUGCGUAGAUAUCGGAAGGAACACCAGUGGCGAAAGCGGCUUCCUGGUCCGACACCGACGUUCAGGCACGAAAGCGUGGGGGAGCAAACAGG
rnacentral:rRNA from 1 species